rnacentral:SRP_RNA from 1 species
GCUGGGCAUGGUGGCUCAUGCCUGUAAUCCCAGCUACUCCGGAGGCUGAGGUGGGAGGAUCGCUUGAGCCCAAGAAUUAGAGACCAGCCUGGGCAACAUAGCAAGAUCCCAUCUCAA